UGUAGCUUAGUGGUACAGUGCUUGCCUAGCAUCCAAGAGGCCCUGAGAUUAAUUCUCAGCA
rnacentral:tRNA from 1 species